GUCAUAUCAGGUCGAAACACCAGUUCCUGUACGAUCGCCGAAGUUAAAAACAACGUCGAGCCUUAUCAAUACCUAGAUGGGUGACCGCUUGGGAAUAUCAGCUGCAGUA